CAGCAGCCGCCGCGGUAAUACAGAGGGUGCGAGCGUUAAUCGGAUUUACUGGGCGUAAAGCGUGCGUAGGCGGCUUUUUAAGUCGGAUGUGAAAUCCCUGAGCUUAACUUAGGAAUUGCAUUCGAUACUGGGAAGCUAGAGUAUGGGAGAGGAUGGUAGAAUUCCAGGUGUAGCGGUGAAAUGCGUAGAGAUCUGGAGGAAUACCGAUGGCGAAGGCAGCCAUCUGGCCUAAUACUGACGCUGAGGUACGAAAGCAUGGGGAGCAAACAGGAUUAGAUACCCCAGUAGUCCCUGUCUCUUAUAC
rnacentral:rRNA from 1 species